GGCGCCGGCAGGGCGGGGCCAGCGGCGCGCACCACCCGGCGCAGGGGGGGGGGAGGCCAGAAAGUGCCUCCCCCCACCCCCCCAGGCCGAAGCGGAAUGGAGCCGUCGGGCGGGAACCGGGCUGUGAGGGAGGGAGCGCCCGGGGGCGUCCAGGGCACAGCGGACACGGUGCUGGGUGCCCUGGGGCUGUUUGGAAACAGGUGGGACUCGGUCAGCUCAGAGGUCUUGUCCAGCCGAAUUUAUUCUGUCAUUCGAUGGUGGCCCCCCCCGCCCCCGGCUGUUUGGGCGUUACAGAUCUGUCCUGGGAAAUUGUGAAUGGCCCAUCCCUGGAAGUGUUCCAGGCCAAGCUGGAUGGGACUCAGGAACCUGGGCUAGUGGAAGGUGUCCCUGCUGGAACGAGAUGGCCUUUGAGGUCCCUUCCAACCUGAGUCAUUCUCCUCCUUUCCUCAAGCCAGGCACCAACCUGGCACAUUUUUAGCCUCCUAGAAUUGCCCUGGUCAGUCAAGGCUCACUCAUGAGGAAUGUCAGCAUACAAGGGAUGUUUGCAGUCAGCUGUUUCCAACCUCCUGGGCCACAGCUAUCCCUGGAAGACAAGAGCUCCACUGGUCACUAAUGCACUGAAAUGAAUCACAUCACUGUCAGGUGACCCCCCACACAUGUAUCUUCCUGCUUCUUUACAAACAUAGAUCAUAAAUGUUCAAUGAACACUUCUGCAUUGUUAUUGACAUUUUAAUCAUGUCCAUCUAGUAAUGGGCCUGUACCAUUUCACUUCUAGGGUUUUCUGGGAUUUAGCGUUGCCAGCUAUGGAUUUCCUUUGAUGUGCUUCACUUCCAAUCACUACUCUGCUUCUCACAGCUUCUUAUUUAUACCAACACUUUCUUAUUUCCUGCUUUCUCCAUUUUGGCUAUUUCUUUUUUAAUUUUACUCACACUCUCCAGUCCAUUAAUAAAACAAGAGUUGUCAAUGG